rnacentral:rRNA from 1 species
GGGGAAUAUUGCACAAUGGGCGAAAGCCUGAUGCAGCAACGCCGCGUGAGUGAUGAAGGCCUUCGGGUUGUAAAGCUCUGUCUUCUGGGACGAUAAUGACGGUACCAGAGGAGGAAGCCACGGCUAACUACGUGCCAGCAGCCGCGGUAAUACGUAGGUGGCAAGCGUUGCCCGGAUUUACUGGGCGUAAAGGAUGCGUAGGCGGAUACUUAAGUCAGAUGUGAAAAUCCCGGGCUUAACUUGGGAACUGCAUUUGAAACUGGGUAUCGAGAGUGCGGGAGAGGAAAGUGGAAUUCCUAGUGUAGCGGUGAAAUGCGUAGAGAUUAGGAAGAACACCAGUGGCGAAGGCGACUUUCUGGACCGUAACUGACGCUGAGGCAUGAAAGCGUGGGGAGCAAACA